AGGAGACCAUUGCUCAGGGCAACCAAGAUGACCAAGGGGGUGGAGCAACUCCCCUGGGAAGAAAGAACGCAGGGUCUGGAAAUCUUUAGUUUAAAGGAAAGAUGAGUAAGAGUCGACGUGAUAGAAGUUGAUGAAAUUAUGCACUGUAUGGAGAAAGUGGAUAAAGUCCCCCCCCCCUUCAUCACACUUGUGGGCAUCCAAUGGAGUGUCAGGUCACAACCACAAGGCAGAAAAGAAAAUCCAGCUUGGUGUGUUGUAAACAAUGCAGGAGAAGGAAGAGGCCCCUGCGCCAGGCACGCUGCCAUGGCUUUCCAGGGACAAGGUGUUUCCUGUGAUUCCGUCAAGGGCACGACAUUCCGUCUCCAGGAAUUGGUCUGGAGCUGCGUGUGGUUUGCUGCAUUUGUGUGUGUACAAGAGGGUGGGUGGAGUUUCUUCGGGUGAUGGUGUUGCUAUUGCCGACAUUCACACAAUAAAAUGAUGCACACUGUG